rnacentral:lncRNA from 1 species
AAAAGAUUUGGAAAUCUGGUCAAGAUUGAAACUUUCCUUGUUGGGUCGAAUUGCUGCUAUAAAAAUGAAUGUAUUGCCGAAAAUGUUAUUUUUGUUUCAAACCCUACAGAUUGUGGACAGAGUGGAAUGUUUUGGAAAGUGGCAGAAGGAUAUAUCCAAGUUUGUUUGGCAGGGCAAAAAGCCCCGGAUAAAGUUUAAAAUACUAACUGAUUUGAAAGAAAGAGGGGGGUUUGCCCUGCCGGACUUGAGAUUAUAUUAUGAAGCUGCGGCCUUCUGCUGGAUGAAAGAUUGGUUACUUCUUGAGAACACUGAUGUUCUAGAUCUGGAAGGGUUUGAUAAUGCUUUUGGUUGGCAUGCAUAUUUGUGGUACGACAAGGUAAAGGUUCAUAAAAUGUUCAAAAAUCAUAUUGUUAGAAAAUCAAUAUUUAUGGUCUGGACAAAAUACAAGGACUUAUUAGAGGGUAAGACUCCGAGGUGGCUUUCACCAGCAGAGGCCAAGGCCCGGAAAACCUAAUAUGGAGGUUGGUUGGCUGAAAUAUGGGGAAAUUAUAGAAAAAGUAGGAGAAACUUGGAGGCUGCAGAGUUAUGAAAAAUUAAAGAAUAAGGUGCAAAAUUGGCUUCACUAUGCUCAAAUUCAAGAGGUUUUUAAGCUGGACAAAAGAACAGGUUUCCAGGUGGAAAAAUCGAAACUAGAGACAGAAUUGUUGGAACCAAAGACCAAGGUACUUUCGAGAAUGUAUAUCUUGCUGCUUAAAUGGAACACUCAGGAUGAGACAGUCAAAUCAGCCAUGAUAAAAUGGGCUCAGGACAUUGGGUACAACAUUAUGUUUGAAGACUGGGAAAGGUUAUGGACCACUGGUAUGAAAUUCACGGCAUGUAAUGCCUUGAAAGAGAAUAUUAUGAAAAUGAUAUACAGGUGGUACAUGACCCCAGUCAAGCUUGCUAAGAUAUAUCAUUUGUCUGAUAAUAAAUGUUGGAAAUGUAAGGAGGCUGAAGGGACAUUCUUUCACCUCUGGUGGACUUGCCCAAAAGUGAAGGCCUUCUGGGAAAUGAUCUAUAAUGAGUUAAAAAAGUGUUUAAGUACACUUUUCCCAAGAAACCAGAGGCCUUCCUACUGGGCAUUGUCGGUCAGAAGGUGUUAAAGAAGGAUAGAACCUUUUUAUGUAUGCAACUACAGCAGCAAGAAUUCUUAUCGCAAAAUACUGGAAGACUCAAGAUUUACCCACACUGGAAGAGUGGCAGACGCAAUUGAUGGGCUACAUGGAAUUGGCCGAGAUGACUGCCAGGAUCCGAGAUUUGGAGGAAGAAGCAAUGGAGGAGGAUUGGAAAAAUUUUAAAGAUUAUUUACAAAAAUUUUAUAAGUUAUAUGAAUGUUAAGAAUUCGCAUGAUUAGGGAAAUUCAGCUCCAGCAAUAAGAUUAAGGUAUGGGAAACUAAGCUAUAUUAAUGAAAGGACUAACGUUUAAAAGAACAUUAUAUAUAUUAUUAGUGUAAAUUGACAAUAAGCAUUUUAAACGCAAAUCACAAGUAUUUGAAAGAACAAAAGAAUGCACGAAAUAAGGUUAUAAUUUGCUGAAAAAUUUUAUUGUAAAGAACGCAAGGUGAGGGGGACGGGGGGAAGUCCGGUUGGUUAUGGAAAAAUGCUUUGAAAAGAUGAUUUUCUUCUUUUUCUUUCUUUUUUCUGUUAUUUCUUUGUAUAUCUGACCUUGUAUUUCUAUCUGGAAAAAUGC